rnacentral:misc_RNA from 1 species
AAGUCGUAACAAGGUUUCCGUAGGUGAACCUGCGGAAGGAUCAUUACAACAAGGUUCCCUGGCCCUCGAAGCUUCGGCGGAGGGGUGCUACAGCCUGACUUUAUACCCACCCUUUGCCUAUGUGUACCCCUAUUGCUUCCCUCGGCGGGUUCGCCCGCCGACAGGAACCAACUAAACCCUUUGCAUUAUACAUUUAACACUUCCGAUACAAAACUAAAUUAUUACAA